UACAGAGGUCUCAAGCGUUGUUCGGAUUCAUUGGGCGUAAAGGGUGCGUAGGCGGUGCUCUAAGUCGGAUGUGAAAACUCUGGGCUCAACCCAGAGCCUGCAUCCGAAACUGGAGUGCUAGGAGUUCUGGAGGGGUAGCGGAAUUCCUGGAUGUAGCGGUGAAAUGACGUAGAUAUCAGGAGGAACACCGGUGGCGAAGGCGGCUACCUGGACAGAAACUGACGCUGGAGGCAACGAAAGCUAGGGGAGCAAACAGG
rnacentral:rRNA from 1 species